UACAUAGUUCCCUGUAGCAUUUCAAACUAACACAUUAUUUCAUUAUAGUAAUGGAUGCUAAUUUGUGUUCUCUGCACUGUGAAGAUCAUAUGUGAUGCUGCCAACAUUAUCACAAAUGUGGAAGCCAAGUGGCCAGGCUCUGUUCAUGACUCACGAAUUUUUCGUGAAUGUACACUGAGCACAAAAUUUGGACAUGGAGAGUUCACUGGCUACUUGCUUGGUGAUAGGGGGUAUCCAUGUUUACCCUAUUUGCUUACCCCUUACCCUGACCCGGGCCAAAGCAGCGAUAUAAUCUGGCUCACUGCAGGACAAGAGCCAGAGUUGAAAUGACUAUGGGAAUGCUUAAGGCCCGGUUCCAGUGCCUUCAAAGUCUCAGGGUCACCCCAGAAAGGGCAUGUGACAUUAUUGUGGCAUGUGUGAUUCUUCACAACAUUGCCACAAUUAGAGGAGAACACUGUCCUUCUGAACCAAACAUCAGCAGUGAUCCAAACCAUGAACAUCCUGACCCUCCUACGGACAUACAAGAUGGAAGAGCAGUCAGAGACACCAUAUGUCACAAUCAUUUCCUUUGACCCAUCACCUCAACAUGUUGAAAGAAGAAUAAACAGAUUUUUUGUUCAACUGGC